rnacentral:rRNA from 1 species
UACGGAGGAUGCAAGCGUUAUCCGGAAUGAUUGGGCGUAAAGCGUCCGCAGGUGGCUGUGUAAGUCUGCUGUCAAAGAGCAAAGCUCAACUUUGUAAAGGCAGUGGAAACUACACGGCUAGAGUGCGUUCGGGGCAGAGGGAAUUCCUGAGUGUAGCGGUGAAAUGCGUAGAGAUCAGGAAGAACACCGGUGGCGAAGGCGCUCUGCUAGGCCGCAACUGACACUGAGGGACGAAAGCUAGGGGAGCGAAUGGG